UACGGAGGGUGCAAGCGUUAUCCGGAUUUACUGGGUUUAAAGGGUGCGCAGGCGGAUAUGUAAGUCAGUGGUGAAAUCUUCCCGCUUAACGGGAAAACUGCCGUUGAUACUAUAUAUCUUGAAUGCCGUGGAGGUAAGCGGAAUAUGUCAUGUAGCGGUGAAAUGCUUAGAGAUGACAUAGAACACCGAUUGCGAAGGCAGCUCACUAAACUGUAACUGACGCUGAGGCACGAAAGCGUGGGGAGCAAACAGG
rnacentral:rRNA from 1 species